GACGUAGGGGGCCAGCGUUGUUCGGAAUUAUUGGGUGUAAAGGGUUCGUAGGCGGUGUGGCAAGUUGGGAGUGAAAUCUCUGGGCUUAACCCAGAGGCUGCUUCCAAAACUGCUGUGCUUGAGUGUGGGAGAGGCGCGUGGAAUUGCAGGUGUAGCGGUGAAAUGCGUAGAUAUCUGCAGGAACACCCGUGGCGAAAGCGGCGCGCUGGACCACUACUGACGCUGAGGAACGAAAGCUAGGGGAGCAAACAGG
rnacentral:rRNA from 1 species